GGGAGAAGCGGCCGGAGGGGGAUGGCGCGGGCAGUGCGGUGCUUUUUUUAGCCUCAGGGUGACUGUUUGCUCCAAGGCUGGCCUGAGUAUGCUGCAUAUCCCAGGCACUGCUCCAGGAACUGUGUCCCGCAGCCAAACACCACCAUGGAGUCCUCAGAGGAAGGCCACAAGUAACUAAUAUUUACAAAUAUGGAAGGCCACGUCUGUUAAACUGGAGAUUAACCACAGGCUAAUCUAAAGUCUGGUCUGUGUUUGAGCUCAUCAGAUUUGUAUGAAGGUUUUUUGUGUACAUGUCUGGUUUUUAAUAUCUGUCUACAUGCAGAAGGACACAUUUCUUAUUUUUUUUUCCCUUUCUGCAUUAACCAGGAAACAUGGGGAGCCCUUCCUUGUUUUUUCCUAUGUAUGGCUAAACCCCAUGACUAAUCUGUUUUCACUGUUGUUGUUCAGUUUUAAGUAUUCAAAGCAACAGAUCAGAAUAUAGUCCCAGUGAGUUGGAUCUACCAUGUUAAUGGAUCUACUUUGUUAAUAAUGGCUCCUGAAAAAUUAAUUCUUCAGGGCAAUGACAUCACCCAGAGGAAGUGCAGGCUGUAACGUGCUGACAUAAAAUGCAGACUACUUUAAAAACAAUUCUGGAUUAAAUUCAGCAAUCCAUGCAAAAAAGCCUCAUUAUUUUUCUCAGUUAUCCCCCUGUCAGAGGACAGAAACAAAAGCAUUAGGCUUUGUGCAUACAACAAGGCCAAGGCUGAGCAGAAUUAAUCUCCAUAGCCUGUGAGCAAGGUACUCGCCACAGGCUGUCAUUGGUAUUUUGCACUGAUUGGAUUCAUUUAAUUCUCUUCACUGUUAAUCUGUGAUAGCCAGCUACAUGCCUGUACAGAGCCCACCUCUUGUUUCUGGGAGGGCAGGGAGGCAAAUGGAGAGCUUCUUAAAUACCUCUUUUCCCGUCCCAUGUUUUUUUCUGUGUGGUAAACUUAAGCUUCAUAUCUACAUAAAUUCUUUAUAAUCUUCAAUGAUCAUUAUUAUCAAGCUGAAAGGUACUUCUUUUCAAAUCCAGAAUGCAGUAUUUAUAUAUAGUGGGAUGGGUUCUGCCCCAUUUUCACAUGUGUGCAAAACGAUCUCCCAAGCUAGAGGCAAUGGCCUUGUGACGUAAUUUGGUGAAUUUCAGCUUUACCUCUUUUCUCUAGAAGAUAUUUGGCUACCUGAAUUCGAUACAGAUUUAGGAAAUCUGUUUAUUCUUAAAUGGUGUGACUGCUGUGGUUGUACAAAGCCUAUGUAUUUAACAUACAUGCUGCUCUUCUUCCAGUAGCUCCUGGUGAAUAAGAAGCACCAAGCAGCUGACUGUGAACUGUUUAUAAAUAAAUGGAAAGCUGAAAAAAACCCAGAAAUCUCUACCUUGUGACUGGCCUAACUGCACAGGUGGUUCCAGCCCUUGCCAGGACAUGGGGCCUGCAGUUGAGAGCAUGUAUUUAUUUCCAAGUGGUUUCAAAAGACACAUGGAAAACAGCUUUAAGAUGUAUCCUGCCAUGAUAAACAAGCUUGGGCACACCCUUCUCUGUAGGUCUAAAUGACCUAGAGGAGCAUGUGGCAAAUUCAGUGUGCUUCUGAUGCAAAGAAACUUCUAAAGGCCAUUUUAUAAAGAUGCCAUCAGCCUAAAAUCACAGUCUGCCUCCUGCCUGUGAGUCCUUUGGAUCUGAUCCAAGCUGCACUGCGGUGAAGGAGCUCUCUUUGUUCACGUUCUCCCUGCUGCCUCUAAGCUGAUUUCCCAUGUGGUUUCUGGGGUGAGGUUUUUCAGUAGGAUAGCAAAGAAGCAUCUUGAAAAACAGAAAGACAACAGAAAUAAGUCCUAAAACACUGUUAAUCAUGAUGGUUCAAUAGAACCUCUCUAGCAGUAAACAAAACCAAACACUAUCAAGGCCAUUCUGAACAGCCUCAUCCACUGGCCCAGAGGCAAUACCUCCUGUAUUUUGUUUUUAGAUCCAGCUUGGAUCCCUUGAUAGUGAGGACAACAUCCAGAAUGCUUCCCCCUCCACAACAGUAAGACUAAAAUCCAAGCACUGACAUUGUUCUUUCCUUCCCAGACUAUGUAGUUUUAACUAUGUCAUUUCUUUUAAGUGUGAUGUUAGCUAUACACUACCUCUAGUUCCCUGCUUAUUAGCUGAAAAACAUCUACAAUUCUCUUUAACCCACAAACAUGUUGCUGCUUUCCAUGCUGCUUUUGCAACGAAAAUGCCCUUAGAGACAGAAUCUCAAUGUGGGCUGCAGGCCAGCUCUGCAGAGCUGAGUCACUGUUAUACAAGCAGAGCUGAGAUAGCACAGAAAACCACCUUUGUACUUUAACAUUAAAACAUCAGCUGUUGAACUUUGAAUAUCACAAGACACCUAAAGAGAACAAACAAUGAUUUACUGGAAUUUUCCUUCUGCCCAUCCCAUCAUCUUUCUGAAUACUUCUUCCUUCUUCAUUUUGUCUCAGAAGCUUAAGAGCAAAAGCAUUCUUCAUCAGGCUGCUGGCUGUACCAAGUUUGGCAAACGUUGCAUAGGAUUUGGAAGUAAUGUGAACGCUGUUAACUUUGUGGGCACUGGGAAACAUCUGCUGCCCAGGUACACUGAUAUUACAGCCUGCAACCACUGACACUUGAGGCUUGCAAAUCACUACACCCAUGACAUUCAGCAUCAGCCAGAGAUCCACUAUAAAGCUCUUGAACUGAUUAUUUAUGUGAGACUUAGUUUUGAGCUUUAAGAGUCAUUUGUAAUACAAUACAAAACAAACAAAAAGGGGGAAGAAUGUCUUUACUACAGCCUUCUGAAACAAAACUGCAUUCCCUUCUUCUGUUUUUGCCUUCCAGUUCUUUAUCAUGAAAUGUCACAGGGGAACAGAAUUCUGCUUCUCAAAAUGCUGUCUUCAUUUAAAAUGCACAGAACUACUUGUGGAGGGGCACAGAAAGUGAUAGAUUUGCAGAUAUUACAUGAACUACAUAUUCUGGUUUUCUCACUGGAACUACUUUUUGAGAGUGUACAUGUGCUGUCGUUUGUGUGAUCACUAAUAAGCUCCUAAAGUAUGUUCUGGCUUUCAGUUUACUAGAGUUAACUGUUUUUGGAAAAGGACUGACCAUGUAGGCUGAAACCUGCAACUGCUGCUGGUGAUGCCCUGCACUGAAAGCAAGUGAAUCCACGCUGUGAACUGCACAGGCUCAGUUUCAGGUUGUGGUGUCCAGUUUCACGUCGGUGAAUUUUCCUCCCAAAAUAUAAGGUGACUAACAUGAAAUCUAGUGUGACUAAAGGUCUGGGAGUGUCUCAGAUCAAGAGCUAGAAAUGAACAUGCUGACAUGAGCCAGAAUUUGUCACAUACAAUGUAUUAAAAUGGUUCUUCUAGGAUGAGUAACCGGUACAAGAGGUUCACAUGAGGAGUAACAGGAAAUAGUAACUCAGUGUCCUUUCCAUCAUCAGAGAAGAGAUGUGCUGAGCCACAGGAUUGUUAUGCCAGUCCUGGUAUGUGCCAUCUCAGGAGGCAGCCUACACACUAUAGUCACAUGUUUUCAAAGCUGUUUUCCAAACCAGAGAGUACUGAUAGCUGUUUCAUCAUUGUCCAGUUGCUUUGCUAUAUUCCUGGCUGAGACAUGACCAGACUGUCAGCUCACUUGUUUACAGCUUCUCUUCUUCUUGAGAAGAGCAAGACAUCAAGUCAUGUUGAAAGUACAAAUUCUUUAUUAUUACUCAAACAAAAUAAAUUUCCAGUCAGCUAACACUGGGCACAAAGAUUCAUCCCUGGAGUGAUUCUUUUCUUUCCUCCAACCGAAUGGGGUUGCACUAGAUGAUCUUUCAAGGUCACUUCCAGCUGUUAAGAUUCUGUUAUUCUUUGAUUCUGUGAAAUGUGAUUUACAUGUCUAAAAGU